GUGUCAGCCGCCGCGGUAAUACGUAGGUGGCAAGCGUUGUCCGGAAUCAUUGGGCGUAAAGGGCGCGUAGGCGGUCAUUUAAGUCAGUGGUGAAAACCCAGGGCUCAACCCUGGGAAUGCCAUUGAAACUGGGGGACUUGAGUGCAGGAGAGGUAAGUGGAAUUCCCAGUGUAGCGGUGAAAUGCGUAGAUAUUGGGAGGAACACCAGUGGCGAAGGCGACUUGCUGGACUGUUACUGACGCUGAGGCGCGAAAGCGAGGGGAGAAAACAGGAUUAGAUACCCUGGUAGUCCUCGCUGUAAACGAUGAGUACUAGGU
rnacentral:rRNA from 1 species